rnacentral:rRNA from 1 species
CGGACGGGUGAGGAAUACAUCGGAAUCUACUCUGUCGUGGGGGAUAACGUAGGGAAACUUACGCUAAUACCGCAUACGACCUACGGGUGAAAGCAGGGGAUCUUCGGACCUUGCGCGAUUGAAUGAGCCGAUGUCGGAUUAGCUAGUUGGCGGGGUAAAGGCCCACCAAGGUGACGAUCCGUAGCUGGUCUGAGAGGAUGAUCAGCCACACUGGAACUGAGACACGGUCCAGACUCCUACGGGAGGCAGCAGCU